AUGCACGCUUGCGGCGUGCCUAAUACAUGCAAGUCGCGCGAACAGACGAGGAGCUUGCUCCUCUGACGUUAGCGGCGGACGGGUGAGUAACACGUGGAUAACCUACCUAUAAGACUGGGAUAACUUCGGGAAACCGGAGCUAAUACCGGAUAAUAUAUUGAACCGCAUGGUUCAAUAGUGAAAGACGGUUUUGCUGUCACUUAUAGAUGGAUCCGCGCCGCAUUAGCUAGUUGGUAAGGUAACGGCUUACCAAGGCAACGAUGCGUAGCCGACCUGAGAGGGUGAUCGGCCACACUGGAACUGAGACACGGUCCAGACUCCUACGGGAGGCAGCAGUAGGGAAUCUUCCGCAAUGGGCGAAAGCCUGACGGAGCAACGCCGCGUGAGUGAUGAAGGUCUUCGGAUCGUAAAACUCUGUUAUUAGGGAAGAACAAAUGUGUAAGUAACUAUGCACGUCUUGACGGUACCUAAUCAGAAAGCCACGGCUAACUACGUG
rnacentral:rRNA from 1 species